UUCAGGAGAAUAUAAUGGCUAUGGAAGUUAAUGAAAAAUGGAAUUUUAACUUUGGGACAUUGAAACAUAGGCUAGGGGAGAUGACCGGAUAGAAAACAUUGUUCUAUUCACUUACCUCCCUGCCUACAAAA